rnacentral:rRNA from 1 species
UACGUAGGGUGCAAGCGUUGUCCGGAAUUAUUGGGCGUAAAGAGCUCGUAGGCGGUUUGUCGCGUCGAAUGUGAAAACCCGGGGCUCAACUCCGGGCCUGCAUUCGAUACGGGCAGACUAGAGUUCGGUAGGGGAGACUGGAAUUCCUGGUGUAGCGGUGAAAUGCGCAGAUAUCAGGAGGAACACCGGUGGCGAAGGCGGAUCUCUGGGCCAUUACUGACGCUGAGGAGCGAAAGCGCGGGGAGCGAACAGG